CCUACGGGGGGCUGUAGUGGGGAAUUUUGCGCAAUGGGCGAAAGCCUGACGCAGCAACGCCGCGUGGGUGAUGAAGGUCUUCGGAUCGUAAAACCCUGUCGUUGGGGACGAAGGGGGGGGCGUUAAUAGCGUUUCUGCUUGACGUUACCCGGAGAGAAAGCCCCGGCUAACUCUGUGCCAGCAGCCGGGGUAAUACAGGGGGGAAAUAUUGUGCGUAAAGGGCGCGUAGGCAAUGGGCUAAGUGAGAUGUGUAAUCCCCGAGCUCAACUUGGGAACUGCAUCUGAGACUGGAAGGCUAGAGUACUGGAGAGGGUGGUGGAAUUCCUCGUGUAGCGGUGAAAUGCGUAGAGAUGAGGAGGAACACCAGUGGCGAAGGCGGCCACCUGGACAGUAACUGACGCUGAGGCGCGAAAGUGUGGGUAGCAAACAGGAUUAGAUACCCUUGUAGUC
rnacentral:rRNA from 1 species